GACGAACGCUGGCGGCGUGCCUAACACAUGCAAGUCGAACGGAGAUUAUUGAUGAAGCUUGCGAUUUAAUAAUCUUAGUGGCGGACGGGUGAGUAACGCGUGAGGAGCUGUCCUAUGCGAGGGGGACAACAGUUGGAAACGACUGCUAAUACCCCAUAAGCCGAGAGGUAAAAGGAUUUAUCCGGCAGAGGAGGUACUCGCGUCCUAUCAGCUAGUAGGUGAGGUAACGGCUCACCUAGGCGAAGACGGGUAG
rnacentral:rRNA from 1 species